UUUUGACCUCAAUAAUCAACACUGGAAUAUUAUGAUCCCCACAAAUCCCAUUUUCUAAAUCAUAUCCCAAACAAUUCCAAGUUUGAUAUCCCUUCAUAUAACCUCCAAUAAAUCACCUACUUCCUCACCACGGCCUUUGCCCUUUUAUUGUUAAUAAUGUAACUCGGAGACUGAUGCACCAUCACAUAAAAACUCACAUUUCUCCCAAUUUGCUUCCUGUCCCGUUAUAAAUCCAAAUCCAAACUCAUAAAGACUGGAAGGCUGACUGACGUUCACAUAAACUAAUCACCUUCCGAGUUCCCAUUUGAGCGACAGGCACUGCAGCCAAUGACAGCAGGGGUCAGUGUUACGUCUGAGCUACGAUAGGCUGGAGGAAAUCGGCCCAUGACCAGCCCCUCCUCUUCCGCUCCAUCGCCAUGGCGGAGAUCAGCGAGUCGCUUCUGUCGGUGUCGCCGGCCUCGGCGCCCACAAGGACGGUUGUGAUUCCCCUUUGCGCCUCGGUGGGUCUGUUUCGGGGACGUCUGUGGUGGCUGACGAAACAUGCUUUGACAGGGAGCGAGCGAGGAACAAUGACUACAACUCCCAGAAGGCCCCACUGAUGACGUUGUGGUGUUGUUCAGGGCUUUCCCACCACAGAUGUAAGGCUCAAUGGUCUAUAAUUAUCUGGACUAUCUCUACUACCCUUUUUGAACAAGGGGACAACAUUCGCCUCCCUCCAAUACUCCGGUACAAUUCCCGUGGACAAUGGGGACAUAAUGAUCUUCGCCAGAGGCUCAGCAAUCUAUUUCCUUGCCUCGGAUGCAGAACUGGGAAGCGCAGAUGGAGUUCAACACAGAUGAAGAGGUUCAUUUCUGCAGGUCAAAUUUGAACACAGAAUAUAAUAUUAAUGAUUACAGGUAACGAUAAAGAAACAAGAUUGACCGAUUUCUGGAGAACAACAUUCUCGAUGUCCGCAGGGAACAGGGAGAACCCAGAGGGUUCGAUGGCGUGGUCCAGUGUCUCCUCCGUCAACCAGGGAUCCACAAAGCACAAAACGUUACUUUAUUUUGUUUCCCGCAGGACUUUUCGGGGGGUAACUUAGGUUUCAUUUGAAAAAGGAAGCAGUGAGGGUUUUCUGUCCCAAUUCUCUACACCACACUCCAGUCCAGUUCGUGUCCGGAAUGCAGCUUUAAAUUGGAGUGACCGCCGUUGUUUAUACAAACCCCGCACUCGUUCUCCACGUCAGCCAAUUAUUCAAAGAGAAGGCGGAGACUGGUGAUUGACAAUGGAUUAGCCAACCAGCAUCCGGCUAGACCGUCGUCAUCAAAGUGGUCCUGACGAAGGGUCUCGCACUGAAAUGUUGCUUCCCGACUUGCUGAGUUCCUCCAUCUUGUUUGUACGUGUCGACUUGAUCUCUGCCACAUUUUGGGAACGUCGGGCUGCGCGUUCGGUGGGCGGGAACGGGAAUUGAUGAGCAUAUUUGCAGGCCAAUGGUCGAGCGGUAUUCACGAGUAAUUCUGUGACUGCCAUU